CAGCUGGAUAAUAAACAACAUGAUUCACAACUUUUACAUCUACAAAAUGAUAUGACUUGAUAUUUCAAUGUGCGGUUUCUUUUAUUUUAUUUUGAAACACUGUAUCGAAAUAAUGUAUCAUGAAUUUGGAUUCAUUGGAUUUAAAGCGACAGAAUCCUUAUGCACUGUUUUGUUUUUUCAUGGGGCCUUUGCUUAUUGUAUCAAUUCAUUAUGAAAUGGACUAUCGAUUUUGAAGCACACCACUGGUAGGACCUGUAGAAGACAUAUACAUAUACUACUUGAAGCACGUUCAAUUGUUCUACAAAAAAACAAUACGAUUCAAAUUGUCACUUGAAACGUCGAUUGUCCAGAAUAAACUCCAUGACGAUGAAAGUUGCCGGGAAUAUUUUGGCUGGUGGAAGGUUUUAUAUAUGAAAUAAGUUCUCAGCUAUGAAAGAAUACAUAUUGCCACUUGAAAAAAGACAGCAAUCUGUGAGAUAUAUUAUGGAUACAGAAGUCACUAGUGAACGCCAGCAAAACGCUGCUCACUUGGAAAGAAAAUGAAGUUGCAAAUAACUUGUUAUUAUCUCAGUUGUAGAGAUUUCAUCUCAUUAUGGAAACGCAACAAGUAUUCCAUCAUUCGAAGCUCUUCAUACGGCAAAAACAGGAUAACACUCAAUCAUAUCUCCCAAUACGACACAUCCAUGUUGAUGGGAGAGAAAAAAGACGGAGAUUUCCAGCAUGUUUUCGUUCUCUAAAAAACUAAUCUGCAAUCAAUCAUCCCAUGGAACCAAACCAGUCGUUUAUUAUACCUAGAUUUCAGAAGUUCAAAAAGCAUGUGGCUCAAUUUUACCUCUGAAAUUUCAAUAUCGGAGUAUGCUCAAAAUCAAACGUUCGGAAAUUGUUGAGCAAUCAUUAAAAUUAUUUCCAUUGCUGAAUUCUAGUCCUGCGUUGCGCUCUGCUAAUUCAAAUCAGUUUCACGUGGAAAAAUCCGAACGAGUAAAACUUUUCGCUCAACUUUUCACUCACAGAAAAACAAUCUCUCUGAACUCUAUGUCGAUACAGCGUCGGUUAUCCAGAAAUAAACGAGUACUUGAUUACUGCCAAAGGCCAUAAAAUAUUUCGAAAGCUUCAGACAUAAGAUUGACUCUUCACUUACAAUAGAUGAAUCAAUUGCUCCUCUUGAUUAGUGUAAUAAUGUCAUAUUUGCUGAAUCAAGUAAUAGAGUAAUUGUUUCAUAUUUGUGAGUGACUACAAAAGGCCCAAUGGGUUCAUUAACGAAUAGCCCUGGCUCAAAUUACAAAUAGGCUCAUUUCAAAAGCCGUGAGUUGAUAGGGCAUGGAUGUGAUAUUAAUGUGG